rnacentral:rRNA from 1 species
UACGAAGGGGGCUAGCGUUGUUCGGAAUUACUGGGCGUAAAGCGCACGUAGGCGGAUUGUUAAGUCAGAGGUGAAAUCCCGGAGCUCAACUUCGGAACUGCCUUUGAUACUGGCAAUCUAGAGUCCGGAAGAGGUUAGUGGAAUUCCCAGUGUAGAGGUGAAAUUCGUAGAUAUUGGGAAGAACACCAGAGGCGAAGGCGGCGACCUGGACAGGCACUGACACUCAACUACGAAAGCGUGGGGAGCAAACAGG